CGUGUCGAGCGUGCGGUCGUCCAGGAGAGAGCGCAUCUUUGUACAGAGUAUGCCAGCCGCUGAGAAAGCACGCUCUGCCUCCACUGAAGUAUACGGCACAGUCAUCAGAUACUGAUACACUUGUUCUAAACAACGCCCGCACUUGCUGUUGCUCUGAAACACCACCAUUUCAGCUUUUACUGAUGCAUCCAGUUUCUUGUCAUCAUUCUGUGAUGACAAGUUUCUUAGCACAGAUAAUGCGGAUGCAACAGACUGACGCAUUGCAAUUUCAAGUUGCUGUUCAAAGCUGUCAACGGCACAGACGUCGAUGAACUCUGCCCCGUCUCGGCAUUCGUGAGCUGCAGAGUGCAGACUUCUCCCAGUCCACUGUGCUCAGUCAGCCGGAAGACUGACUGCUGCUGGGCUUGUGUUCACUGAAUUAAUCAGCAACACACUACACCGUGGGCCAAAAAACCGUGCCACUUAAUUAUUUUCAACUAUGACUCUGUUAUUUCUUGAUCGAUUUUUACACUUUUACAUGCUAUAUAUGCGAGCUUGGCCAUUCCCGUUUUCCUGGGAAUUACAGCAGUUUCAUUCCCGGGAAUGAAAAAUGUCCGGGAAUCCCGGGAAUGGAUUCCCUAGGCAUUAUCUUGUGCAACAUUUAAUAUCGAAACCUGCACUAACGAAAAUUAAAGCAAAAAAAAUACGAGCAGAGUUUUUUUUUUUUUUUACAUUUUUGACAUUUAUGAAAUAAAUAUGUAAAUUCAAAAUAACUUCAAAUAGUCCAAGCUGUACUGUCUGCAUUUCCUUUUUGGUUCAGUCAUAUUAUUAUCUGAAGAAAUAAACUUUUAUUAACAAACAAUUUCGACAGCCCCUGUGUUUUAAAAAAAACAAUAAAGUAUGUACUUACUUGAAACAGAAGAUUUUUGUUCAAACUCGAAUAAAUAAACUGUGUCCUGAUUUUCUUUUUCGUAGUACUGCUCCUCAAUAAAUAAUUAUAUUCAAAGUUCAAAUCACAAAUAAGUACUCUGUACAUGUCACAUCAAAUGAACCAAUUUAUAGUGUUUUAUGAAAGCAUGACCGUACAAGACUGAUAGAUUCUGCUAAUAUCGAAUAUCGUCUUGUCCCACCGCGAGCAAGUGCGGGCAUGCAACGUUUUUUCAUGUCCACACUUGCUUUGAUACGUUCAAUAAGACAAUGCACAGACAUGUUUGUGCUACAUGUAUUUUCAUGCAUUCUUACGUGUGACUCUCUUAAUGACACAUUUUACCUUUUCGUUCGCAAGUUUGGUAUGUAAUGUGUUUUUUUUAUCAAAAAAGUGUUUGUUUUUUUUUUUAAUUAUUUUACUUCUUAAUUAGGUACCUAUUGGAAUCAUAGAUA